UAAACGACUCUCGGCAACGGAUAUCUCGGCUCUCGCAUCGAUGAAGAACGUUAGCGAAAUGCGAUACUUGGUGUGAAUUGCAGAAUCCCGUGAACCAUCGAGUCUUUGAACGCAAGUUGCGCCCGAAGCCAUUAGGCCGAGGGCACGCCUGCCUGGGCGUCACA
rnacentral:rRNA from 1 species